rnacentral:rRNA from 1 species
AUACGGAGGAUGCGAGCGUUAUCCGGAUUUAUUGGGUUUAAAGGGUGCGCAGGCGGGAUUUUAAGUCAGCGGUGAAAUUUUCAGGCUCAACCUGAACACUGCCGUUGAAACUGGGAUUCUUGAGUAUGGAUGAAGUAGGCGGAAUUCGUUGUGUAGCGGUGACAUGCUUAGAUAUAACGAGGAACUCCGAUUGCGUAGGCAGCUUACUAAGCCAUAACUGACGCUCAAGCACGAAAGCGUGGGGAUCAAACAGGAUUAGAUACCCUGGUAGUCCACGCCGUAAACGAUGAUUACUAGUUGUUUGCGAUAUACCGUAAGUGACUAAGCGAAAGCGAUAAGUAAUCCACCUGGGGAGUACGCCGGCAACGGUGA